ACAAUGUGAUGAUAAAUGAAAACGGCGAUGCUUUUAUUUGUGCUCCUUUUAGCUAUCUAAAAGGGGCUACAUGAAGCGAAAUGAGCGUCAAAAGCGAGUAGUUUUCAAUCUGACAAAA
rnacentral:snoRNA from 1 species